UAUAUGAUAUAUUACUAUUCGUGCCUGACACAAAAGAAAGAAAAAAACAAAAUAAUGUUGACAGGUGCAAAAAUAUGUGUUAAAUUAUUAAAUGUCGUCGCCACUAAAAAAAUAAAAAAAGUGGUUGACAACAAGAAACAAAAAUGAUAAGAUGUUUAAGUCGCCAAAACAACGGCGACAUAAAAAGAGAUUGACCUUUGAAAACUAAACAGCACAAGAAAUGACAAGCAAAAACAUGCAAAAUGCCAAAAUGAUAUUUUGAGCAAGAAGCACAAACCUCGAAGAUUUUAAUUGAGAGUUUGAUCCUGGCUCAGGAUGAACGCUGGCGGCGUGCCUAACACAUGCAAGUCGAGCGAACAAAUUUUUAGGAAGCCUUCGGGUGGAAUAAAAAGGAGUUAGCGGCGGACGGGUGAGUAACGCGUGGGCAACNAGUCCACGCCGUAAACGAUGAGUGCUAGGUGUCGGGGGUUACCCCCCUCGGUGCCGCAGUUAACGCAAUAAGCACUCCGCCUGGGGAGUACGGUCGCAAGACUGAAACUCAAAGGAAUUGACGGGGACCCGCACAAGCAGCGGAGCAUGUGGUUUAAUUCGAAGCAACGCGAAGAACCUUACCAGGACUUGACAUCCUCUGCAUUACCCUUAAUCGGGGAAAUCCCUUCGGGGACAGAGAGACAGGUGGUGCAUGGUUGUCGUCAGCUCGUGUCGUGAGAUGUUGGGUUAAGUCCCGCAACGAGCGCAACCCUUGUCUUUAGUUGCCAGCACUUUGGGUGGGCACUCUAAAGAGACCGCCGAGGAUAACUCGGAGGAAGGUGGGGAUGACGUCAAAUCAUCAUGCCCCUUAUGUUCUGGGCUACACACGUGCUACAAUGGCUGGUACAACGGGUAGCGAAAGAGUAAUCUGGAGCCAAUCUUAAAAGCCAGUCUCAGUUCGGAUUGUGGGCUGCAACUCGCCCACAUGAAGCUGGAGUUGCUAGUAAUCGCGGAUCAGAAUGUCGCGGUGAAUGCGUUCCCGGGUCUUGUACACACCGCCCGUCACACCAUGGAAGUUGGGGGCACCCGAAGUCAGCGAUCUAACCGCAAGGAAGAAGCUGCCGAAGGUGAAAUCAAUAACUAGGGUGAAGUCGUAACAAGGUAGCCGUAUCGGAAGGUGCGGCUG
rnacentral:rRNA from 1 species